GAUGAAGAACGUAGCGAAAUGCGAUAAGUAAUGUGAAUUGCAGAAUUCCGUGAAUCAUCGAAUCUUUGAACGCACAUUGCGCCCCCUGGUAUUCCGGGGGGCAUGCCUGUCCGAGCGUCAUUACAACCCUCAAGCUCAGCUUGGUAUUGGGCCCCGCCGCUCCGGCGGGCCCUAAAGUCAGUGGCGGUGCCGUCCGGCUCCGAGCGUAGUAAUUCUUCUCGCUCUGGAGGCCCGGUCGUGUGCUCGCCAGCAACCCCCAAUUUUUUUCAGGUUGACCUCGGAUCAGGUAGGGAUACCCGCUGAACUUAAGCAUAUCAAUAAGCGGAGGA
rnacentral:misc_RNA from 1 species